AACUUGCUGACGAGUGCUAAAUAGCACGAAACUCGGGUCCGGGCU
rnacentral:hammerhead_ribozyme from 1 species